GAAUAUUGGACAAUGGGCGAAAGCCUGAUCCAGCCAUGCCGCGUGUGUGAAGAAGGUCUUCGGAUUGUAAAGCACUUUAAGUUGGGAGGAAGGGUUGUAGAUUAAUACUCUGCAAUUUUGACGUUACCGACAGAAUAAGCACCGGCUAACUCUGUGCCAGCAGCCGCGGUAAUACAGAGGGUGCAAGCGUUAAUCGGAAUUACUGGGCGUAAAGCGCGCGUAGGUGGUUUGUUAAGUUGGAUGUGAAAUCCCCGGGCUCAACCUGGGAACUGCAUUCAAAACUGACUGACUAGAGUAUGGUAGAGGGUGGUGGAAUUUCCUGUGUAGCGGUGAAAUGCGUAGAUAUAGGAAGGAACACCAGUGGCGAAGGCGACCACCUGACUAAUACUGACACUSAGGUCG
rnacentral:rRNA from 1 species